CCUACGGGAGGCAGCAGUGGGGAAUAUUGGACAAUGGGGGCAACCCUGAUCCAGCCAUGCUGCGUGUGUGAAGAAGGCCCUCGGGUUGUAAAGCACUUUCAGUGAGGAAGAACGCCUGGUGGUUAAUACCCAUCAGGAAAGACAUCACUCACAGAAGAAGCACCGGCUAACUCCGUGCCAGCAGCCGCGGUAAUACGGAGGGUGCGAGCGUUAAUCGGAAUUACUGGGCGUAAAGCGCGCGUAGGUGGCUUGAUAAGCCGGUUGUGAAAGCCCCGGGCUCAACCUGGGAACGGCAUCCGGAACUGUCAAGCUAGAGUGCAGGAGAGGAAGGUAGAAUUCCCGGUGUAGCGGUGAAAUGCGUAGAGAUCGGGAGGAAUACCAGUGGCGAAGGCGGCCUUCUGGACUGACACUGACACUGAGGUGCGAAAGCGUGGGUAGCAAACAGGAUUAGAUACCCUGGUAGUC
rnacentral:rRNA from 1 species